UGGCCGGUUGCUCAGUGGUUAGAGUGUUGGCUGCAGACCAAAAGGUCAGAGGUUCAAUUCCCGGUCAA
rnacentral:tRNA from 1 species